UAAUACGAAGGGUGCUAGCGUUGUUCGGAAUUACUGGGCGUAAAGCGCGCGCAGGCGGCUUUCCAAGUCAGAGGUGAAAGCCCGGGGCUUAACCCCGGAAUUGCCUUUGAAACUGGUUGGCUUGAGUGUCGGAGGGGAUAGCGGAAUUUCUAAUGUAGCGGUGAAAUGCGUAGAUAUUAGAAGGAACACCGGUGGCGAAGGCGGCUAUCUGGACGACAACUGACGCUGAGGCGCGAAAGCGCGGGGAUCAAACAGG
rnacentral:rRNA from 1 species